rnacentral:lncRNA from 1 species
GCUGGCUCACAAAAAGCAUGAUUAUGAUUAGAUACUAAUCAAUGUAAACCAAAAGAAAUAACCAAUUGUUGCAUAAUUAAUAAGCAAGCUAGGUUGAACUUGUUUUCACUUAACGGUAGUGAGUUGCACAUGAUGAUAUAAUAAUUGUCAAACUUAUUAAUAUCAUAAGGCUAUCAAUCAGCAAAGCAAUAACAUGAGAUGAGUGAACACGUCUUUAGAGUUGUUUAAUAAUUUAAACCACAACAAUAAUUCUACCGUGACACAUAUGUGCAGUUUGAAAGUCAUUAAUCAUGUUAUAAUUUAAUAAGAGAGCUUGGCCCUGUUCGUUUGCUCACCCAGCUGAUCCAUUUGGGUGAAGAUGCAAAUUGAUGUUCGUUUAGUGCAUUAUAAUGCUACAUCUAGAUGGAUCACCCAGCUGAAUUUUUAAAAACUCAUCUCAAAUUCUCAUCCAAAUGAAGGUGAGUCUUGAUGGUGCAUCUGGAUGCAGAUGCAUCUAGUUCAGUCCAAAAUGAAAAAUGACAGAAAUGACCUUUUAAAAUCAAAAUAUUAUUUUCAAACCGUAAAUUCUAUUUUUUUGCAUAUAAAUUUUUCCGCUAUAACCAAAAAAUGCAUUUUCUCGCAAAAACGAAAAACGCACUUUUCCGCCAAAACCGCAAGAUGCAUUUUUCCGCAAAAAACAUAAAACACACAUUUUCAUUAAAACAUAUUUUUCGGCUAAACCAGUAAAACCACACCUUUCGACCAAAACCCAAAAAAAACGCAUAUUCCCGCCAAAACUCCAAAAGCAUUUUC